UACGUAGGGUGCGAGCGUUAAUCGGAAUACUGGGCGUAAAGCGUGCGCAGGCGGUGAUGUAAGACAGAUGUGAAAUCCCCGGGCUCAACCUGGGAACUGCAUUUGUGACUGCAUCGCUGGAGUGCGGCAGAGGGGGAUGGAAUUCCGCGUGUAGCAGUGAAAUGCGUAGAUAUGUGGAGGAAUACCGAUGGCGAAGGCAGCCCCCUGGGCCAAUACUGACGCUCAUGCACGAAAGCGUGGGAGCAAACAGG
rnacentral:rRNA from 1 species